AAGGAAGCCGUAGAGAAAUCGAGUCUUAAGAGGGCGCGAGUCGCUGGGAGUAGACCCGAAACCGGGCGAUCUAGCCAUGUGCAGGAUGAAGGUUGGGUAACACCAAGUGGAGGUCCGAACCGGGUAAUGUUGAAAAAUUAUCGGAUGACGUGUGGCUAGGAGUGAAAGGCUAAUCAAGCCCGGAGAUAGCUGGUUCUCCCCGAAAGCUAUUUAGGUAGCGCCUCGUGAAUGAUUGCUGGGGGUAGAGCACUGUUUCGGCUAGGGGGCUGUCAUGGCUUACCAAACCGAUGCAAACUCCGAAUACUGGCUAAUUGAAUCACGGGAGACACACGGCGGGUGCUAACGUCCGUCGUGAAGAGGGCAACAACCCAGACCGCCAGCUAAGGUCCCGAAGUGAUGAUUAAGUGGGAAACGAUGUGGGAAGGCAUAGACAGCCAGGAGGUUGGCUUAGAAGCAGCCACCCUUUAAAGAAAGCGUAAUAGCUCACUGGUCGAGUCGGCCUGCGCGGAAGAUGUAACGGGGCUAAAAUCAUCCACCGAAGCUGCGGAUGUGCACUUGAGUGCACGUGGUAGGGGAGCGUUCUGUAGGCUGAAGAAGGUAGAUUGAGAAGUCUGCUGGAGGUAUCAGAAGUGCGAAUGCUGACAUGAGUAACGAUAAAGAAGGUGAAAAACCUUCUCGCCGGAAGUCCCAGGUUUCCUGCACGACGUUAAUCGGAGCAGGGUGAGUCGGCCCCUAAGGCGAGGCAGAGAUGCGUAGUUGAUGGGAACCAGGUUAAUAUUCCUGGACUUUUUAUAAGUGGUGAAGUGGGGACGAAGAAGGCUAGGUGAGCCGGGCGAUGGUUGUCCUGGUACUUGCAUGUAGGCUGAGAGACCUGGCAAAUCCGGUUUCUUAUAAGGCUGAGGUGCGAAGUGGUUUCGACACUACGGUGUGCGAAGAAGUCAUUGAAGCCAAGCUUCCAGGAAAAGCUGCUAGCCAUAACUUAUAGAGAACCGUACCGCAAACCGACACAGGUGGACAAGUAGAGUAUACUAAGGCGCAUGAGAGAACUCGGGUGAAGGAACUAGGCAAAAUGGUACCGUAACUUCGGGAGAAGGUACGCCCUUUUGGGUGAGCUGCUUUACGUAGUGAGCUUGAGAGGGCCGCAGAGACCAGGUGGCUGCGACUGUUUAUUAAAAACACAGCACUCUGCAAAUUCGUAAGAAGACGUAUAGGGUGUGACGCCUGCCCGGUGCCGGAAGGUUAAUUGAUGGGGUUAUCCUGCCACCAGAUUGUUCGUCAAUCAAGGCGUGGUGUGAAGAGAUGAAGGAGUUUACAUAGGUAAAUGACUGAGUUGAUGAGCAUCACAACGCGGAGUGACGAGGAAUGUGGUGGCAGGAGAAGCUCUUGAUCGAAGCCCCGGUAAACGGCGGCCGUAACUAUAACGGUCCUAAGGUAGCGAAAUUCCUUGUCGGGUAAGUUCCGACCUGCACGAAUGGCGUAACGAUGGCCACACUGUCUCCACCCGAGACUCAGUGAAAUUGAAAUCGCUGUGAAGAUGCAGUGUACCCGCGGCUAGACGGAAAGACCCCGUGAACCUUUACUAUAGUUUUGCACUGGACUUUGAUGAUGACUGUGUAGGAUAGGUGGGAGGCUAAGAAGUACGGACGCCAGUUCGUAUGGAGCCGCCCUUGAAAUACCACCCUGUUGUUAUUGAGGUUCUAACUUGGUCCAGUAAUCCUGGAUGAGGACAGUGUAUGAUGGGUAGUUUGACUGGGGCGGUCUCCUCCCAAAGAGUAACGGAGGAGCACAAAGGUACCCUCGGUACGGUCGGACAUCGUACCAAGAGUGUAAAGGCAUAAGGGUGCUUGACUGCGAGAGUGACGGCUCGAGCAGGUACGAAAGUAGGUCUUAGUGAUCCGGUGGUUCUGAAUGGAAGGGCCAUCGCUCAACGGAUAAAAGGUACUCCGGGGAUAACAGGCUGAUACCGCCCAAGAGUUCAUAUCGACGGCGGUGUUUGGCACCUCGAUGUCGGCUCAUCACAUCCUGGGGCUGAAGCAGGUCCCAAGGGUAUGGCUGUUCGCCAUUUAAAGUGGUACGCGAGCUGGGUUUAGAACGUCGUGAGACAGUUCGGUCCCUAUCUGCCGUGGGCGUAGGAAAAUUGAGAGGAGCUGCUCCUAGUACGAGAGGACCGGAGUGGACGAACCUCUGGUGUACCGGUUGUCACGCCAGUGGCAUUGCCGGGUAGCUAAGUUCGGACGGGAUAACCGCUGAAAGCAUCUAAGCGGGAAGCCUCCCUCAAGAUGAGUUUU
rnacentral:rRNA from 1 species